ACAUUUCCAGAGCUGAUAAGUCUUCUGACUUUUCAAACCUCGUAACACUCAGCAACCAUGGACUCCUCUAAGCAACUGACCGAGGAUCUAAAAAAAAAUGACGCUAACUGACGCCUACAAAGCAGGGAAGGAUAGAAAUAGUUGCGCUUCCGGCUUACGUGUCAUUAAGAAAAGGCAGUUUGCGGGGAACUGUGGAAGUCUAGACGCCAGCUGGAAGACCAAGAGCACUUUCGGAUAAAACUGCCCAUCAUCUGGGCAGGAAGCCUGCAAAGGAGCUGCAGGAGGAUUUAGCUGGCACAUUGGAGUGGUGGUGCACCAACAGGGUCUACACGGUAGAGUCAUCAGAGGGAAACCUUACCUGCGACCUCAUCACAAGAGUCAACAUCCGAAGAAUGCAAAGCAACGUCCGGAUAAUCCAGAGUCCAUGUACCGUGGACAGAUGAAGAUGCCGUAGAUGUCCGCCCUGUCUGUCCUCAGAAUCAGCAGCUGUCAGUGCCUUCUCCGCACAGCGUUUGUUUUUACCUCCUUACCUCAACACGAUCACAGUGGGAGAGGACACGGGGAUUUAACAACAUAACAAAAGACGGGAUUUACAGGAUAAAAGCCGCUAGGCAGCGUAAAAACCAGUGCAAAUUCUUCGUAAAUGCUUCAUAAACACAACUGUGGAUGUACAGAUAACAUGCUCUCUCACUGCUAGACGCUGUGUCCCUGUUGUUCCCUAGAGCCUGUUUUUGUAGUUGAUCUUGGACUAUUUAAAGUGAAUAAUAAAAUAUUUUAUGUUA